rnacentral:rRNA from 1 species
UACGUAGGGUGCGAGCGUUAAUCGGAAUUACUGGGCGUAAAGCGUGCGCAGGCGGUCUGUUAAGACCGAUGUGAAAUCCCCGGGCUCAACCUGGGAAUUGCAUUGGAUACUGGCAGGCUAGAGUGCAGUAGAGGCAAGCGGAAUUCCAGGUGUAGCGGUGAAAUGCGUAGAUAUCUGGAAGAACACCGGUGGCGAAGGCGGCCUGCUGGGCAGUAGCUGGACGCUGAGGCACGAAAGCGUGGGGAGCAAACAGG